rnacentral:rRNA from 1 species
GAUGAACGCUGGCGGCGUGCCUAAUACAUGCAAGUCGAGCGAACGGACGAGAAGCUUGCUUUUCUGAUGUUAGCGGCGGACGGGUGAGUAACACGUGGAUAACCUACCUAUAAGACUGGGAUAACUUCGGGAAACCGGAGCUAAUACCGGAUAAUAUUUUGAACCGCAUGGUUCAAAAGUGAAAGACGGUCUUGCUGUCACUUAUAGAUGGAUCCGCGCUGCAUUAGCUAGUUGGUAAGGUAACGGCUUACCAAGGCAACGAUGCAUAGCCGACCUGAGAGGGUGAUCGGCCACACUGGAACUGAGACACGGUCCAGACUCCUACGGGAGGCAGCAGUAGGGAAUCUUACGCAAUGGGCGAAAGCCUGACGGAGCAACGCCGCGUGAGUGAUGAAGGUCUUCGGAUCGUAAAACUCUGUUAUUAGGGAAGAACACAUGUGUAAGUAACUGUGCACAUCUUGACGGUACCUAAUCAGAAAGCCACGGCUAACUACGUG